AUUGAACGCUGGCGGCAGGCCUAACACAUGCAAGUCGAACGAGUGGCGGAAGGGUGAGUAAUGUCGGGGAAACUGACUGAUGGAGGGGGAUAAAUACUGGAACCGGUAGCUAAUACCGCAUACCAUCGGAUGUGCCAAGAUGGGAUGAGCUAGUAGGUGGGGUAAAGGCUCACAUAGUCGACGAUCCCUAGCUGGUCUGAGAGGAUGACCAGCCACACUGGAACUGAGACACGGUCCAGACUCCUACGGGAGGCAGCAGUGGGGAAUAUUGCACAAUGGGCGCAAGCCUGAUGCAGCCAUGCCGCGUGUAUGAAGAAGGCCUUCGGGUUGUAAAGUACUUUCAGCGGGGAGGCGUUACCCGCAGAAGAAGCACCGGCUAACUCCGUGCCAGCCGCCGCGGUAAUUC
rnacentral:rRNA from 1 species